rnacentral:rRNA from 1 species
AUACAGGAAGAAACGUACCCUCGUGAGGGUGCCUGACGGUACUGUAGGAAUAAGCACCGGCUAACUCCGUGCCAGCAGCCGCGGUAAUACGGAGGGUGCGAGCGUUAUCCGGAUUUAUUGGGUUUAAAGGGUCCGUAGGCGGAUUAAUAAGUCAGUGGUGAAAUCCCAUCGCUUAACGAUGGAACUGCCAUUGAUACUGUUAGUCUUGAAUGAGGGUGCAGUGGUUGGAAUGUGUAGUGUAGCGGUGAAAUGCAUAGAUAUUACACAGAACACCGAUUGCGAAGGCAGAUCACUAACCCUAAAUUGACGCUGAGGGACGAAAGCGUGGGGAGCGAACAGGAUUAGAUACCCCUGGUAG